UAGGGAAUCUUCCGCAAUGGACUAAAGUCUGACGGAGCAACGCCGCGUGAGUGAUGAAGGUUUUCGGAUCGUAAAGCUCUGUUGCCAGGGAAGAACAGCCAGGCGAGUAACUGCACUUGGAAUGACGGUACCUGAGAAGAAAGCCCCGGCUAACUACGUGCCAGCAGCCGCGGUAAUACAGAGGGGGCAAGCGUUAUUCGGAAUUAUUGGGCGUAAAGGGCGCGUAGGCGGUUUUUUAAGUCAGAUGUGUAAUCCCCGAGCUCAACUUGGGAACUGCAUCUGAGACUGGAAGACUAGAGUACUGGAGAGGGUGGUGGAAUUCCUCGUGUAGCGGUGAAAUGCGUAGAGAUGAGGAGGAACACCAGUGGCGAAGGCGGCCACCUGGACAGUAACUGACGCUGAGGCGCGAAAGUGUGGGUAGCAAACAGGAUUAGAUACCCUGGUAGUCCUUGCUGUAAACGAUGAACACUUGGUGUGGAGGGAGUUGACCCCUUCCGUGCCGGAGCUAACGCGUUAAGUGUUCCGCCUGGGGAGUACGGUCGCAAGGCUG
rnacentral:rRNA from 1 species